rnacentral:rRNA from 1 species
CCCUACGGGGCGCAGCAGUCGCGAAAACUUCACAAUGGGAGAAAUCCCGAUGAGGGAAUUCCAAGUGCUAGCACUAUGUGUUAGCUGUUCUUUUGUCUAAAAAACAGAAGAAGUAAGGGCCGGGCAAGUCUGGUGUCAGCCGCCGCGGUAACACCGGCGGCUCGAGUGGUAACCGUUAUUAUUGGGUCUAAAGGGUCUGUAGCCGGCCGGAUAAGUCUCUUGGGAAAUCCAGCAGCUCAACUGUUGGGCUUUCAGGAGAUACUGUCUGGCUCGAGGCCGGGAGAGGUGAGAGGUACUUCAGGGGUAGGGGUGAAAUCUUGUAAUCC